GGCCCGUUAGCUCAGUUGGUUAGAGCGUCGUGCUAAUAACGCGAAGGUUGCGGGUUCGAUCCCCUCACGGGCCA
rnacentral:tRNA from 1 species